rnacentral:rRNA from 1 species
GCAUUUAGGUGCAGCGUCGUAUGUUUCUUACCGGAGGUAGAGCACUGAAUGGUCUAGGGGGCCCACAAGCUUACCGAAAUCAGUCAAACUCCGAAUGCCGGUAAGUGAGAGUACGGCAGUGAGACUGUGGGGGAUAAGCUUCAUAGUCGAGAGGGAAACAGCCCAGAUCAUCAGCUAAGGCCCCUAAGCGGUAACUAAGUGGAAAAGGAUGUGGAGUUGCGGUGACAACCAGGAGGUUGGCUUGGAAGCAGCCAUCCUUGAAAGAGUGCGUAAUAGCUCACUGGUCAAGUGAUUCUGCGCCGACAAUUUAGCGGGGCUCAAGUUAUCCGCCGAAGCUAUGGCAUUCACAUGUUAUGACCGUAAGGUCGUGUGGAUGGGUAGGGGAGCGUCGUGUGCGCGGUGAAGCGGCGGGGUGACCCAGUCGUGGAGAGCACACGAGUGAGAAUGCAGGC